AAAUUGACUUUUGGCUAUUUAAGGAUUUUCAAGUGAUGAUAACAAACUCAUUUAGAACAUAACAUCAACAAGUCAUCAGCAAAGCUAAGUUGGAUGAUUUUUUGUCUCUUACACCUAGGAUGGUAAUGGAACUCAUGGUUAGUAUGAAGGCUUUUUAAGACCCUUGUGAGAUAAUCCAUGGCUAAUACAAAGAGAAAAGGCGACAUGGGAUCCCUACCGAGUUAAUGAAUCACAAUGAACUAUGAUGAAGGCACCUAGCAGGUGCUGGGGAAAAACAACUAAACAGAAAGCUUUGUAACUUUGAUGGCUUUGGUCCCCUAUUAAAACAGAUGGUGCAAGCACUUUGUCGGCAUGUAUCGGAUGAUUCUCCUACUGUUAGGCGCCUCUGUCUAAGAGGGCUUGUCCAGAUGCCAUCUAUCCAUGUUCUCCAGUAUACUACUCAAAUCCUAGGGGUGAUAUUAGCUUUGAUCGAUGACUCAGAUGAGUCGGUCAGUUAACUGCAGUAUCAUGUUUGCUGAUGGUUCUCGAGUCCUCAUCCAGGGAUGCGGUUGAACCUGUUCUCCUGAACCUUUCUAUACGGCUUCUGAAUCUCCAAGUAAGUUGAUUCACUAUCCAAACGUAAAUUUCUUCAACUUUAGAUUUUCUGGUAAUAGCCUCAAAUUGGUUGAAUUACUGUACUAGUCCGAUUGUAUCACAUUCUAAAUUAUUUAUUUAGAGCUGAUAACAAGGUGGCAUUGUG